rnacentral:rRNA from 1 species
AUACAGAGGGUGCAAACGUUGUUCGGAAUUACUGGGCAUAAAGCGCACGUAGGCGGUCUAGUAAGUGUGAAGUGAAAUCCCACGGCUCACCCGUGGAACUGCUUUGCAAACUGCUAGACUCGAGGAAGGUAGGGGAGAGCAGAACUCUUGGAGGAGCGGUGAAAUGCGUAGAUAUCAAGAGGAAUACCAGUGGCGAAGGCGGCUCUCUGGUCCUUUUCUGACGCUGAGGUGCGAAAGCUAGGGUAGCGAACGGGAUUAGAUACCCCAGUAGUCC